GCAAUAGGCUUUUAAAGUAACAAGCAAUCUCUGAACCUGAAUGGGAUGUAUGCGUGUGCUGUUGCAAACCACCGCCUUGCCAAAAUAUUGCAGCUGGCAAGAGAGGGGCUGGCUGUGUGCUGCUUUAGGUCAAGCAGCAAAACCCACCUUUCUCUGUGCCAUGGGCUUACACAAAGGGUCUGCAACGGGGGAUACAAAAGGGAUGGUUUCUAUCCACUGCUCAACAAGCUCCUGGGGGAAGAUUCAGUCGACAAAUAAGGGCAGAAGUUUAGAGCUGAGCCUGGCUCAUUGUUUGGGUGAGGUGUCGGACUGGAGGACGUCUGUGGAGUCAGAGCUGCACUGCUUGCUCUGAUGGGACACGGGUCAGGUUUCUCUCUGAAUCUCUCACUCCAAACACCCUCUCCAAUAUUUGCUUAAAAAUCACUCUUUCCAUGUCCAUUCUGCCAGUAAUUUCUCUUACUGGAAUCUCUUCUAGUUCAAGUGCUGUCAAAAGAAGAAAAAUUGCCCAAAUAAUCUUAUUCCCUGGUGCUAUCACACGCUGGCUGCGCCGUCCAGGCUGUGCCCGCGCAGGGCCGAGGCAGAGCUGCCAAUAAUAAUCACCACGAUGGUGCUGCGAGAAGCCCUAAAAGGCACGGUGGUUAUGGGCAGGAAAACCUGCCGCUAGCAACCGGGUCCAGUUUAUGCAAACACGACCUGACUCACAAAAGCCGUAGUCAGAUGGGGAGAGAGAGCUCCUUCUGUCAUCCCCGGGCUCUUUCCGCUCUCGCUGGGCAGGCUGAGGCCCGGGAUGAGCCGUAGCCCGUACCAAAACCUGCACCAUGAGCCCCUCUUUCCUCCCCUGAGGUCGACCCAAGCUUGGGCAAGGGAUAGCACAUGGGGCUGAAACCCAAGUGAUGCCGGCUGCUGCUAGUAGCAUGGGAGGAGAGCCCCGAAGAAUUGCCCUUAUGGUAGUGUGCUUGUUUUCCAAGCCUCCAUACAAACGGAGAGGCCACUUCUGUCCCCAAAUCUAGCUCACUGUGUUGGGGCUGGGGAAAGCCGCAGGGUCUGUGGCUGUCCCUUGACACAGUCCCUCAAGCCCACACCUCCUGCUGCCUGUAGCAGCUCUCCAGGCACUUGGUGCCUUCAGAAACCAGCUGUGUCUCGCCAUGCUUAUAUAGACAGAAAACCCAGACACUGCUGGAGAGCAGGAACCCGAGCUUCCUUUAACUCCACAGUACAAGCUGCUGUUCUCCUGAGCAGCACCCCUGUCUGGAGACAGUGAAGUGCCUUGGGACAACCGUGGCUGACCAAAGGCUGCCACAGGGCUGUGCCGAUGAAGAGCAGAGGCAGGGAAAGCUCAACACCUCGAGGAGAGGGAUAGUUUGGGGCACUGGUUAGCACAUCAGCUGAAGUCCACCUGGUUGGAAGCACCCUGAGCUACAGAUUGCCACGUUCACAGAGCUAGCAAUUGGUGAGGGCAUAGCCUCAUGCACCAGGUCACAAGCUUGUCCAUCCCUUGGCCAAUUUCAGUGAACUGGAAGGUUUCUCAGCAAUUACACAAGACGCAUAUGAAACCUCCAUAAAUCCUUACGGGGGUGACAAGUAUUUGGAGGACAAACAUUUCAGAGCCAGUAACCGAGCAGGAGAGGAGCUGAGGUUUGAUAUCCUAAAGCAGGAAUCUCUGCUUUUUGUCCUGCUGCAUCGCUGCCCAUCUGUGAUACAACCAGAAGGGGAGGCAAGGUGCCGACCUCCGUGUGCGUGCUGCUGUCAGCAGCUGGCUGCUGAUGGUUCAUUGAAAUGAAUCUCCUCAUUUCAGUGCCCAUGCUCUGCGCUGUGUCUGCCCCUGCCGUUCGUUAGAGCCACUGACAGCAACCCCAGCCCGCUUUGCCUCCUGGAUCAGCUCCUCAGAAACCCUGAAAAAGAGACCCUGGAAUUCCCCGAUGCAUAUCCAGCAAUAAAACAUUUCAGGAGGGCUACA
ensembl:lncRNA